rnacentral:rRNA from 1 species
CCUACGGGAGGCAGCAGUGAGGAAUAUUGGUCAAUGGGCGGAAGCCUGAACCAGCCAAGUAGCGUGCGGGAUGAAGGCCCUACGGGUCGUAAACCGCUUUUGCACGGGGAUAACACCCUCCACUUGUGGAGGUCUGCAGGUACCGUGCGAAUAAGGGCCGGCUAAUUCCGUGCCAGCAGCCGCGGUAAUACGGAGGGUCCGAGCGUUAUCCGGAUUCAUUGGGCUUAAAGGGUGCGUAGGCGGGCGUUAAAGUCAGCUGUAAAAUCGCGCGGCUCAACUGCGCCCCGCAGUUGAAACUGGACGGCUUGAGUUCACAACAGGCAGGCGGAAUGCAUGGUGUAGCGGUGAAAUGCAUAGAGAGCACGAGGAACCCCGAUUGCGAAGGCAGCCUGCCGGGGUGCGACUGACGCUGAGGCUCGAAGGUGCGGGUAGCAAACAGGAUUAGAUACCCGAGUAGUC